rnacentral:tRNA from 3 species
GGAGAGAUGGCCGAGUGGUCGAAGGCGCACGCCUGGAAAGUGUGUAGACGCCGAAAGCGUCUCCAGGGUUCGAAUCCCUGUCUCUCCG